rnacentral:rRNA from 1 species
UACGUAGGGUGCAAGCGUUAAUCGGAAUUACUGGGCGUAAAGCGUGCGCAGGCGGUUCGCUAAGACCGAUGUGAAAUCCCCGGGCUUAACCUGGGAACUGCAUUGGUGACUGGCGGGCUAGAGUAUGGCAGAGGGGGGUAGAAUUCCACGUGUAGCAGUGAAAUGCGUAGAGAUGUGGAGGAAUACCGAUGGCGAAGGCAGCCCCUGGGCCAAUACUGACGCUCAUGCACGAAAGCGUGGGGAGCAAACAGG